GUUGCGCCCAAACCCAAAGGGCACGCCAGAUCAGUGGUGUGACUUUUCUCUGGGUCGCAAACAGAACCAGAACCUUGUCGCCUUUCCUGCGGCUGCCGUGCCUCUGAAAGUGAAUUCAAGGUCCGACACUA